rnacentral:rRNA from 1 species
GAUGAACGCUAGCGGCAGGCUUAAUACAUGCAAGUCGAGGGGCAGCAUGAGUGUAGCAAUACAUUUGAUGGCGACCGGCAAACGGGUGCGGAACACGUACACAACCUUCCUAUAAGUGGGGAAUAGCCCAGAGAAAUUUGGAUUAAUACCCCGUAACAUAAUGAUGUGGCAUCACAUUAUUAUUAUAGCUUCGGCGCUUAUUGAUGGGUGUGCGGCUGAUUAGAUAGUUGGCGGGGUAACGGCCCACCAAGUCUACGAUCAGUAGCUGCUGUGAGAGCAUGAUCAGGCACACUGGAAGUUGGUCACGGUCCCGACUCCUACGGGAGGCAGCAGUGGGGAAUAUUGGACAAUGGGCGAAAGCCUGAACCAGCCAUGCCGCGUGUGUGAAGAAGGUCUUCGGAUUGUAAAGACCUUUAAGUCGGGAGGAAGGGCUGUAGGCUAAUACCUUGCAGUUUUGACGUUACCGACAGAAUAAGCACCGGCUAACUUCGUGCCAGCAACCGCCGUAAUAC